rnacentral:rRNA from 1 species
AUUGAACGCUGGCGGCAGGCUUAACACAUGCAAGUCGGGCGAGCUGCUGACGGGAGAGUUAUGUCUGGUGAUUUGCGUGAUGGAUGGGGGUAACUACUGGAAACGGUAUCUAAUAACGCAAACUUUCAGAUGAACCCAUAUGGGAUUAGCUUGUAGGUAAGGUAACGGCUUACCUAGGCGACGAUCCCUAGCUGGUGUGAGAGGAUGAUCAGCCACACUGGGACUGAGACACGGCCCAGACUCCUACGGGAGGCAGCAGUGGGGAAUAUUGCACAAUGGGCGCAAGCCUGAUGCAGCCAUGCCGCGUGUAUGAAGAAGGCCUUCGGGUUGUAAAGUACUUUCAGUCGGGAGGCGUUACCGACAGAAGAAGCACCGGCUAACUCCGUGCCAGCAGCCGCGGUAAUAC